rnacentral:lncRNA from 1 species
UAGCCCACCCGUUUUGUGGCCUUUUACCGCUGGACGAACUUGGCGCCCCGGCCUUCGGGCAGUUAUUUUUGGGUGCGGCUUUGCCCGCGGUCUAUUUUUGGCACACGGAGGCCCCUCGUAAAGUCUCGCGGCAUUCCGAGUUCGGCGGACGAAGUUGACCAGCCCCACCCCCCAAGGCUAUAGCCCACCCGUUUUUGUGGCCUUUUUCCGCUGGACGAACUUGGCGCCCCGGCCUUCGGUUGGUUAUUUUUGGGCGCGGCAUUGCCCGUGGCGUAUUUUUGGUACACGGAGGCCCCUCGCAAAGUCUCGCGGCAUUCCGAGUCCGGCGGACGAAUUUGGCCUGCCCCACCCCCCAAGGCUAUAGCCCACCCGUUUUUGUGGCCUUUUUCCGCUGGACGAAUUUGGCGCCCCGGCCUUCGGGCGGUUAUUUUCGGGCAAGGCUUUUCCCGCGGCCUAUUUUUGGCACACGGAGGCCCUUCGCAAAGUCUCACGGCAUUCCGAGUUCGGCGGACGAAGUUGGCCAGCCCCACCCCCCAAGGCUAUAGCCUACCCGUUUUUGUGGCCUUUUUUCGCUGGACGAACUUGGCGCCCCGGCCUUCGGGCGGUUAUUUUUGGGCAAGGCUUUGCCCGCGGCUUAUUUUUAUCACAAGGAGGCCCCUCGCAAAGUCUCGCGGCAUUCCGAGUCCGGCGGACGAAGUUGGCCAGCCCCACCCCCCAAGGCUAUAGCCCACCCGUUUUUGUGGCCUUUUUCCGCUGGACGAACUUGGCGCCCCGGCCUUCGGGCGGUUAGUUUUUGGCAAGGCUUUACCCGCGACCUAUUUUUGGCACACGGAGGCCCCUCGCAAAGGCUCGCGGUAUUCCGAGUCCGGCGGACGAAGUUGGGCAGCCCCACCCCCCAAGCCUAUAACCCACCCGUUUUUGUGGCUUUUUUCCGCUGAACGAACUUGGCGUCCCGGCCUUCGGACAGUUAUUUUUGAGCGCGGCUUUGUCCGCGGCCUAUUUUUGGCACACGGAUGCCGCUCGUAAAGUCUCGCGGCAUUCCGAGUCCGGCGGACAAAGUAGGCCAGCCCCACCCCCCAAGGCUAUAGCCCACCCGUUUUUGUGGACUUUUUCCGCUGGACGAACUUGGCGCCCUGGUUUUCUGGCGGUUAUUUUUGGGUGCGGCUUUGUCCGUGGCCUAGUCUUGGCACAUGGAGGCCCCUCGCAAAGUCUCGCUGCAUUCCGAGUCCGGCGGACGAAGUUGGUCAGCCCCACCCCCGAAGGCUAUAGCCCACCCGUUUUUGUGGCCUUUUUCCGCUGAACGAACUUGGCGCCCCGGCCUUCGGGCGGUUAUUUUUGGGUGCGGCUUUGCCCGCGGCCUAUUUUUGGCACACGGAGGCCCCUCGCAAAGUCUCGCGGCAUUCCGAGUCCGGCGGACGAAGUAGGCCAGCCCCACCCCCCAAGGCUAUAGCCCACCCGUUUUUGUGGCCUUUUUCCGCUGCACGAACUUGGCGCCCUGGCCUUCGGGCGGUUAUUUUUGUGCGCGGAUUUGUCCGCGGCCUUUUUUUGGCACACGGAGGCCCCUCGCAAAGUCUCACGGAAUUCCGAGUUCGGCAGACGAAGUUGACCAGCCCCACCCCCCAAGGCUAUAGCCCACCCGUUUUUGUGGCCUUUUUCCGCUGGACGAACUUGGCGCCCCGGCCUUCGGUUGGUUAUUUUUGGGCGCGGCAUUGCCCGUGGCGUAUUUUUGGUACACGGAGGCCCCUCGCAAAGUCUCGCGGCAUUCCGAGUCCGGCGGACGAAUUUGGCCUGCCCCACCCCCCAAGGCUAUAGCCCACCCGUUUUUGUGGCCUUUUUCCGCUGGACGAAUUUGGCGCCCCGGCCUUCGGGCGGUUAUUUUCGGGCAAGGCUUUGCCCGCGGCCUAUUUUUGGCACACGGAGGCCCUUCGCAAAGUCUCACGGCAUUCCGAGUUCGGCGGACGAAGUUGGCCAGCCCCACCCCCCAAGGCUAUAGCCUACCCGUUUUUGUGGCCUUUUCUCGCUGGACGAACUUGGCGCCCCGGCCUUCGGGCGGUUAUUUUUGGGCAUGGCUUUGCCCGCGGCUUAUUUUUAUCACAAGGAGGCCCCUCGAAAAGUCUCGCGGCAUUCCGAGUCCGGCGGACGAAGUUGGCCAGCCCCACCCCCCAAGGCUAUAGCCCACCCGUUUUUGUGGCCUUUUUCCGCUGGACGAACUUGGCGCCCCGGCCUUCGGGCGGUUAUUUUUUGGCAAGGCUUUACCCGCGACCUAUUUUUGGCACACGGAGGCCCCUCGCAAAGGCUCGCGGUAUUCCGAGUCCGGCGGACGAAGUUGGCCAGCCCCACCCCCCAAGGCUAUAGCCCACCCGUUUUUGUGGCCUUUUUCCGCUGAACGAACUUGGCGUCCCGGCCUUCGGACGGUUAUUUUUGAACGCGGCUUUGUCCGCGGCCUAUUUUUGGCACACGGAUGCCGCUCGUAAAGUCUCGCGGCAUUCCGAGUCCGGCGGACAAAGUAGGCCAGCACCACCCCCCAAGGCUAUAGCCCACCCGUUUUUGUGGCCUUUUUCCGCUGGACGAACUUGGCGCCCUGGCCUUCUGGCGGUUAUUUUUGGGCGCGGCUUUGCCCGCGGCCUAUUUUUGGCACACGGAGGCCCCUCGCAAUGUCUCGCGGCAUUUCGAGUCCGGCGGACGAAGUUGGCCAGCCCCACCCCCCAAGGCUAUACCCCACCCGUUUUUGUGGCCUUUUACCGCUGGACGAACUUGGN